rnacentral:lncRNA from 1 species
ACGGGAGUUGCCAUGAGCAUUUCUUGAGGGAAGAUUUCCAAUGCUGGAAGGCAAGCAACGGAGGAGUCAGAUCUCUGAAUCCAUGGAUUCAACCAACCACUGAUCAAAAAUAUUUGAAAGAAAAAAUUGCCUAUAUACUGAAGAUGCACAGACUUUUUCUAGUAAUUAUUCUCUAAACAAUACAGUAUAAUAAGUAUUUACAUAACA